rnacentral:tRNA from 1 species
GCAGGAGCCGUGGCUGGAGCUGGUGGACGGCAGCGGCCUGGGCGUGCUGCGCAACCCCGAGAUCACCGUGUUCGACGAGCAUGGCCACGCCGCCGUGCUGCCGGAGGAAAUCCGCGCCUUCCUGCGCCA